rnacentral:rRNA from 1 species
AAUAGAUACCCUGGUAGUCCACGCUGUAAACGUUGGACACUAGGUGUGGCGGUCUGAUCAACGACUGCCGUGCCGAAGCUAACGCAUUAAGUGUCCCGCCUGGGGAGUACGGCCGCAAGGCUAAAACUCAAAGGAAUUGACGGGUCCCCGCACAAGCGGCGGAGCAUGCGGCUUAAUUCGAUGCAACCCGAAGAACCUUACCUGGGUUUGACAUCAUGGGAAAAGCCGUGGAAACACGGUGUCCGAAAGGGCCCAUGACAGGUGGUGCAUGGCUGUCGUCAGCUCGUGUCGUGAGAUGUUGGGUUAAGUCCCGCAACGAGCGCAACCCUUGUCCUAUGUUGCCAGCGGUUCGGCCGGGGACUCAUAGGAGACUGCCGGGGAUAACUCGGAGGAAGGUGAGGACGAUGUCAAGUCAUCAUGCCCCUUAUAUCCAGGGCUGCACGCAUGCUACAAUGGUCGGUACAACGGGCAGCGAUCCUGCGAAGGUGAGCGAAUCCCACAAAGCCGGCCUCAGUUCGGAUUGG